CAAGUAAUUAAGUGCAUGUGGUGGAUGCCUUGGCAGUCAGAGGCGAUGAAAGACGUGAUAGCCUGCGAAAAGCUCCGGGGAGGCGGCAAAUAUCCUUUGAUCCGGAGAUGUCUGAAUGGGGGAACCCACCUACUUUAAGGUAGGUAUUGCAACAUGAAUACAUAGUGUUGCAAGGCGAACGAGGGGAAGUGAAACAUCUCAGUACCCUUAGGAAAAGAAAUCAAUUGAGAUUCCCUCAGUAGCGGCGAGCGAACGGGGAUCAGCCCAUUAAGUUAUGUGUGUUUUAGUGGAACGCUCUGGGAAGUGCGAACGUAGAGGGUGAUAUUCCCGUACACGAAAGGGCACACAUAAUGAUGACGAGUAGGGCGAGGCACGUGAAACCUUGUCUGAAUAUGGGGGGACCAUCCUCCAAGGCUAAAUACUCCUGACUGACCGAUAGUGAACCAGUACCGUGAGGGAAAGGCGAAAAGAACCCCUGUGAGGGGAGUGAAAUAGAUCCUGAAACCGCAUGCAUACAAGCAGUGGGAGCACCUUCGUGGUGUGACUGCGUACCUUUUGUAUAAUGGGUCAGCGACUUAUAUUCAGUAGCGAGGUUAACCGUAUAGGGGAGCCGUAGAGAAAUCGAGUCUUAAUAGGGCGUUUAGUUGCUGGGUAUAGACCCGAAACCAGGCGAUCUAUCCAUGAGCAGGUUGAAGGUUGGGUAACACUAACUGGAGGACCGAACCCACUGUCGUUGAAAAGCCAGGGGAUGACUUGUGGAUAGGGGUGAAAGGCUAAUCAAGCCUGGUGAUAGCUGGUUCUCCCCGAAAGCUAUUUAGGUAGCGCCUCGGACGAAUACCAUAGGGGGUAGAGCACUGUUUCGGCUAGGGGGUCAUCCCGACUUACCAAACCGAUGCAAACUCCGAAUACCUAUGAGUACUAUCCGGGAGACAGACUGCGGGUGCUAACGUCCGUAGUCAAGAGGAAAACAAUCCAGACCGCCAGCUAAGGCCCCAAAAUCAUAGUUAAGUGGGAAACGAUGUGGGAAGGCAUAGACAGCUAGGAGGUUGGCUUAGAAGCAGCCACCCUUUAAAGAAAGCGUAAUAGCUCACUAGUCGAGUCGGCCUGCGCGGAAGAUGUAACGGGGCUAAAACUAUGUGCCGAAGCUGCGGAUGUAUACUUUGUAUACGUGGUAGGGGAGCGUUCUGUAAGCCGAUGAAGGUGUGUUGAGAAGCAUGCUGGAGGUAUCAGAAGUGCGAAUGCUGACGUGAGUAACGACAAAACGGGUGAAAAACCCGUUCGCCGAAAGACCAAGGGUUCCAGUCCAACGUUAAUCGGGGCUGGGUGAGUCGACCCCUAAGGCGAGGCCGAAAGGCGUAGUCGAUGGGAAAAUGGUUAAUAUUCCAUUACUUCUGUGUAAUGCGAUGAGAGGACGGAGAAGGCUAAAUCAGCCUGGCGUUGGUUGUCCAGGUGAAAGGAUGUAGGCAUGUAUCUUAGGCAAAUCCGGGGUACUCUAUGCUGAGAUCUGAUAGCAAGCUGUACUUGUACAGCGAAGUGGUUGAUGCCAUGCUUCCAGGAAAAGUCUCUAAGCUUCAGUUACACAGGAAUCGUACCCGAAACCGACACAGGUGGUCAGGUCGAGUAGACCAAGGCGCUUGAGAGAACUCUGCUGAAGGAACUAGGCAAAAUGGUACCGUAACUUCGGGAGAAGGUACGCUGUUGUUGGUGAUGGAACUCGCUUCCUGAGCUGACGACAGCCGCAGAAACCAGGCCGCUGCAACUGUUUAUUAAAAACAUAGCACUCUGCAAACACGAAAGUGGACGUAUAGGGUGUGAUGCCUGCCCGGUGCUGGAAGGUUAAUUGAUGGGGUUAGCGUAAGCGAAGCUCUUGAUCGAAGCCCCAGUAAACGGCGGCCGUAACUAUAACGGUCCUAAGGUAGCGAAAUUCCUUGUCGGGUAAGUUCCGACCUGCACGAAUGGCAUAAUGAUGGCGGCGCUGUCUCCAGCAGAGGCUCAGUGAAAUCGAAAUCGCUGUGAAGAUGCAGUGUACCCGCGGCUAGACGGAAAGACCCCGUGAACCUUUACUGCAGCUUGACACUGAACUUUGACCUUACUUGUGUAGGAUAGGUGGGAGGCUUUGAAGCUGGAACGCUAGUUCCAGUGGAGCCGUCCUUGAAAUACCACCCUGGUAAUGUUGAGGUUCUAACUCUGUCCCGUGAUCCGGGACGAGGACCGUGUCUGGUGGGUAGUUUGACUGGGGCGGUCUCCUCCUAAAGAGUAACGGAGGAGUACGAAGGUGCGCUCAGCGUGGUCGGAAAUCACGCGUAGAGUAUAAAGGCAAAAGCGCGCUUAACUGCGAGACCCACAAGUCGAGCAGGUACGAAAGUAGGUCUUAGUGAUCCGGUGGUUCUGUAUGGAAGGGCCAUCGCUCAACGGAUAAAAGGUACUCUGGGGAUAACAGGCUGAUACCGCCCAAGAGUUCAUAUCGACGGCGGUGUUUGGCACCUCGAUGUCGGCUCAUCUCAUCCUGGGGCUGAAGCAGGUCCCAAGGGUAUGGCUGUUCGCCAUUUAAAGAGGUACGCGAGCUGGGUUUAGAACGUCGUGAGACAGUUCGGUCCCUAUCUACCGUGGGCGCUGGAAAUUUGAGAGGAUCUGCUCCUAGUACGAGAGGACCAGAGUGGACGAACCUCUGGUGUACCGGUUGUGACGCCAGUCGCAUCGCCGGGUAGCUAUGUUCGGAAGGGAUAACCGCUGAAAGCAUCUAAGCGGGAAGCCUACCUCAUGAUAAGAUUUCCCUAGGACUUUAUGUCCUCUAAAGAGCCGUUCGAGACUAGGACGUUGAUAGGUUGGAUGUGGAAGCAUAGUGAUAUGUGAAGCUGACCAAUACUAAUUGCUCGUGAGGCUUGACUA
rnacentral:rRNA from 1 species